ACAGUAGUGUCUCACGCCAUGAUUUGUUUGAACAAAAACCAUUCUUGGCAAUGGUGUCUUAUUGUGUCGAAAGAAUCAUUGUAAAGAAUGAAUUUAAAGUCUUACACUCAUCCUUUUAAGUUUUAGUUCUAAUUCUAUAUUCAUAACAAAAAAAAAAAAAAUCCUUCAGUUCUUUGAUUAAAGUUAUUUUGAGGUUCUCUAUAGUUUUGUGAAUCGCUGUUGAAUAGUGAGAAAUCAACGGCUAACUAAAAAACAGAAAGUCAACAGUCAAACCUUAAUAAGGUUAAUUAGGUUUAGG
rnacentral:lncRNA from 1 species